AUGCUGGCGGCGUGCCUAACACAUGCAAGUCGAGCGGCAGCGAGUUUUACACUGAAUUCUGGAAGCUUCUGGGUAAUAUAGAAGAUUUAUUCAAGAAUUUUGUGUAAAAUGUCGGCGAGCGGCGGACGGCUGAGUAACGCGUAGGAAUUUGCCCCAAAGUGAGGAAUAACUGCCCGAAAGGGUAGCUAAUGCCGCAUAUGGUCUUCGGAUUAAAGCCUUCGGGCGCUUUGGGAGAAGCCUGCGUUGGAUUAGGUAGUUGGUAGGGUAAUGGCCUACCAAGCCGACGAUCCAUAGCUGGUCUGAGAGGAUGAUCAGCCAGACUGGAACUGAGACACGGUCCAGACUCCUACGGGAGGCAGCAGUGAGGAAUCUUCCACAAUGGGCGAAAGCCUGAUGGAGCAACGCCGCGUGAAGGAUGAAGGCCUUCGGGUUGUAAACUUCUUUUAUGAGUGAAGAAUAUGACGGUAACUCAUGAAUAAGCACCGGCUAACUACGUGCCAGCAGCCGCGGUCAUACGUAGGGUGCAAGCAUUAUCCGGAGUGACUGGGCGUAAAGAGUUGCGUAGGCGGUUUAAUAAGUGAAUAGUGAAACCUGGUGGCUCAACCAUACAGACUAUUAUUCAAACUGUUAAACUCGAGAAUGGUAGAGGUAACUGGAAUUUCUAGUGUAGGAGUGAAAUCCGUAGAUAUUAGAAGGAACACCGAUGGCGUAGGCAGGUUACUGGGCCAUUUCUGACGCUAAGGCACGAAAGCGUGGGGAGCGAACCCGAUUAGAUACCCGGGUAGUCCACGCCGUAAACGAUGGAUACUAGCUGUUGGAGGUAUCGACCCCUUCACUAGCGAAGCUAACGCGUUAAGUAUCCCGCCUGUGGAGUACGGCCGCAAGGCUAAAACAUAAAGGAAUUGACGGG
rnacentral:rRNA from 1 species